CGAGUGCUAGCAUCAUAUGCUGGCUGUCCAGGUGUGUAAAAUACACCUGUUAGCAAGGGCCGGGCAAGACCGGUGCCAGCCGCCGCGGUAACACCGGCGGCCCGAGUGGUGAUCGUGAUUAUUGGGUCUAAAGGGUCCGUAGCCGGUUUGGUCAGUCCUCCGGGAAAUCUGAUAGCUCAACUAUUAGGCUUUCGGGGGAUACUGCCAGGCUUGGAACCGGGAGAGGUAAGAGGUACUACAGGGGUAGGAGUGAAAUCUUGUAAUCCCUGAUGGGACCACCAGUGGCGAAGGCGUCUCACCAGAACGGACUCUGACGGCAAGGGACGAAAGCUAGGGGCACGAACCGGAUUAGAUACCCGGGUAGUCCCAGCCGUAAACGAUACUCGCUAGGUGUCAGGCCACGGCGCGACCGUUGUCUGGUGCCGCAGGGAAGCCGUGAAGCGAGCCACCUGGGAAGUACGGCCGCAAGGCUGAAACUUAAAGGAAUUGGCGGGGGAGCACAACAACGGGUGGAGCCUGCGGUUUAAUUGGAUCUCAACGCCGGACAAUCUCACCGGGAACGACAGCAAUAUGAAGGCCAGGCUGAAGACCUUACCGGAAUAGCUGAGAGGAGGUGCAUGGCCGUCGCCAGUUCGUACUGUGAAGCAUCCUGUUAAGUCAGGCAACGAGCGAGACCCA
rnacentral:rRNA from 1 species